rnacentral:lncRNA from 1 species
UCCUGGUGUCAGGGAGAUUAGGAAACACCUUCAUAUACCGUACUCUAUUCUUGCCAAAAACCUCAAUGAAUGCUUAAAGUAAGAUCUAUUCAUGAAACUGACUUCACAUUACUUCCUAAAUAAAAGAAGGCUAUUCCCACAUUGCCCCCAGCACUGUGUUUGAACACCCUGGUGACUAGGAACACAGCCUUACCUAAAGCAGCUCCUUAGCAGUGCAGGUCUAAUAAGGUGGAACUGAAAUCUGACUUUGACCUAUGAGUCUCAGACAUCUUUAAACAUCUUUAAACAUUAACUAAGGGCUUACUCUUCUGAGUGCCCAUCUGAAGGUACCUGAACGUGUCGGGUUUCCCACUAGACCAUGAUCUCCUUGGAAGCAGGGACAGUAACUUCCCCCUCUUAGCAUUUGCAGAGCCUAGCACAGCAUUAGGCCUGGAGUGAGAGUUUCCUAAACACUUGUCUGACAAAGAAAUUAAUAAAACACUCUAACAUUCCCUGUGAUACUUCUUGCAGUCAGUCAAACUAUGUUUUGGUUCCUUAAAUAGCUUUUCUUUUUUUUUUUUUUUGAGAUAGAGUCUCACUCUAUCACCCAAGCUGGAGUGCAGUGGCGCCAUGUGGGUUCACUGUAACCUCCGCCUCCCAAAUUCAAGCGAUUCUCCUGCCUCAGCCUCCCAAGUAGCUGGGACUACAGGCACCUGCCACCACCAACUGCUAGGCCAGCUAAUUUUUGUAUUUUCAUUCAGUAGAGACUGGGUUUUGCCAUGUUGGCCAGGCUGGUCUUGAACUCCUGACCUCAAGUGAUCCGCCUGCCUCGGCCUCCCAAAGUGCUGGGAUUACAGGCGUGAGCCAUCGUGUCUGACCAUUAAAUAGCUUUUCAAGACAUGGUUUGGGUUGCUUUUUUAAAGAGACAAGGGUCUUGUCAUGUUGCCCAAGUUGGACUUGAACUCCUGGGCUCAAGUGAUCCUCCUGUCUCAACUCUUGAGAAUCUAGGGAUAUAGGCACACACCAGCGCACCCAGCUCAAGACAUGGUUUUUAUUUUCAUAACUUAUUUCCUUUUUUUGUUUUUCCACUUCUAGAUACAUACCCAGGUUUUUGUUUUUGAGAUGGAGUUUCACUCUCAUUGUCCAGGCUGGAGUGCAAUGGCGCAAUCUCGGCUCACUGCAACCUCCGCCUCCCGGGUUCACGCGAUUCUCCUGCCUCAGCCUCCCAAGUAGCUGGGAUUACAGGCACGUGCCAUCACACCCGGCUAAUUUUUGUGUUUUUAGUAGAGACAAGGUUUCACCAUGUUGGUCAGGCUGGUCUCGAACUCCUGACCUCACGUGAUCCAUCCACCUUGGCCUCCCAAAGUGCUGGGAUUUUAAGUGUGAGCCAAUGCACCCGGCCCUAUACCCAGGUUUUAAUUUUUAUUAUUAUUUUCUUUUGAGACAGGAUCUCACUCUGUCACCCAGGCUUGAGCAGAAGACAUGGUUUGUGUGUUUUUUUUUUUUUGAGAUGGAGUUUCGCUCUUGUUGCCCAGACUCCAUCUCAAAAAAAAAAUGAACUGAUUCUACCAGUUAACCACUGGCCCCUCAAGGUCUUGCUUCCCUUGGCCCCCAUAGCUUUACUCCUCUGCUCUGCCCUCAUCCUCCUUCCCUUCCUUCCUUGCCUGUCAUCUC